GCUGGGUGCAGUGGUGCACACCUGUAAUCCCAGCAACUUAGGUGGCUAAGGUGGGAGGAUCACGAGUUCAAAGCCAGCUUCAGCAACAGCGAGGCGCUAAGCAACUCGGUGAGACCCUGUCUCUA
rnacentral:sRNA from 1 species